AAAUAAAAAAAAAAAAAAAAAAAAGAGGUGUGCAGGGACACUUUAAAUUAGAGUGCUUCAGUUUUGUUCUGUAAGCAUCUCAAAUAAAAAAACAGCAAUUGGUGUUUUGUUAUUAAGGAAACUGAUAUGAAUGCAUUAAUGUUGGUCAUGUAUGCGAGAAAUGUUGCUUAUGCGGAAAGAAAAGGGUUGAAAGAGUAUGCUUUAGCCAAGCAUACAAUUCUUGUUCAUUUGACAAUUCUUCUUUGUAUUAUUGUGGUCCGUCAGUGUCCUUGUGUCACAGUUUCUCAAAGAUUAAUAACUAGAAAGAAUAAAGUCGGACCCAAGUAUGACCAGAGUUCCAUGUUGCUAAUCAAAAUAAUUGUGGAGAAUCUUUGGAGGGAUUUGGUAUUUGUUCUGUUCAUUGAUCCUAAUCUUUAAACAAAUAUGAAGUCUGGAGACGAUGGAGCAGGUGGCGUCUGAUAUGGACAAAGGCAGCAAAUUCUUGUUUUUGGCAUAAGGUGGUGAAAGAUUCUAGCCGUAACCUGCCAUUUGAAGUAAAUUAUAAAGCUGGAUAAGCAGAUGGGUGCCAUUAUCCGCCAACUUGCUAAAAGCUUAGCCCUUAAGGGGUGUGAGAGAUGGAAAAGGAAUAUCCAUAGCCAUAAAUCCAUUUCAAACUUUUAAAAAAGAAGUUUUGGUUAUUAACGAGUUUUAUAUUGGAACGAGUGAAUAUUCCAAUUAUAGACAAAAUCUAUAAGAAAAUAGGAUAGCUUACAAUUGGUGGUUGGCUGAAAUUUCAUUUUUAUCAAAAUUCAUACAACCUUCCAACAAACGAAAUGCCAGUAAUUGACUCCAUUUAGAUCAAUUAAAAUUGUUCAAUUGAUUUGGACCCCAAGACAAGAAUUUAGAGUGCGUGAUUCGUGAAGACUGAGAGAGAGAGAAAGCACAUGGGAUGAGAGCUAG
rnacentral:misc_RNA from 1 species